UGUGAACUCGAAGAGUAGGGCGGGACACGUGGUAUCCUGUCUGAAUAUGGGGGGACCAUCCUCCAAGGCUAAAUACUCCUGACUGACCGAUAGUGAACCAGUACCGUGAGGGAAAGGCGAAAAGAACCCCGGCGAGGGGAGUGAAAAAGAACCUGAAACCGUGUACGUACAAGCAGUGGGAGCACCUUCGGGUGUGACUGCGUACCUUUUGUAUAAUGGGUCAGCGACUUAUAUUCUGUAGCAAGGUUAACCGUAUAGGGGAGCCGCAGGGAAACCGAGUCUUAACUGGGCGUUAAGUUGCAGGGUAUAGACCCGAAACCCGGUGAUCUAGCCAUGGGCAGGUUGAAGGUUGGGUAACACUAACUGGAGGACCGAACCGACUAAUGUUGAAAAAUUAGCGGAUGACUUGUGGCUGGGGGUGAAAGGCCAAUCAAACCGGGAGAUAGCUGGUUCUCCCCGAAAGCUAUUUAGGUAGCGCCUCGUGAACUCAUCUUCGGGGGUAGAGCACUGUUUCGGCUAGGGGGUCAUCCCGACUUACCAACCCGAUGCAAACUACGAAUACCGAAGAAUGUUAUCACGGGAGACACACGGCGGGUGCUAACGUCCGUCGUGAAGAGGGAAACAACCCAGACCGCCAGCUAAGGUCCCAAAGUCAUGGUUAAGUGGGAAACGAUGUGGGAAGGCACAGACAGCCAGGAUGUUGGCUUAGAAGCAGCCAUCAUUUAAAGAAAGCGUAAUAGCUCACUGGUCGAGUCGGCCUGCGCGGAAGAUGUAACGGGGCUAAACCAUGCACCGAAGCUGCGGCAGCGACACUAUGUGUUGUUGGGUAGGGGAGCGUUCUGUAAGCCUGCGAAGGUGUGCUGUGAGGCAUGCUGGAGGUAUCAGAAGUGCGAAUGCUGACAUAAGUAACGAUAAAGCGGGUGAAAAGCCCGCUCGCCGGAAGACCAAGGGUUCCUGUCCAACGUUAAUCGGGGCAGGGUGAGUCGACCCCUAAGGCGAGGCCGAAAGGCGUAGUCGAUGGGAAACAGGUUAAUAUUCCUGUACUUGGUGUUACUGCGAAGGGGGGACGGAGAAGGCUAUGUUAGCCGGGCGACGGUUGUCCCGGUUUAAGCAUGUAGGCUGGUNNNNNNNNNNNNNNNNNNNNNNNNNNNNNNNNNNNNNNNNNNNNNNNNNNNNNNNNNNNNNNNNNNNNNNNNNNNNNNNNNNNNNNNNNNNNNUAAAUCAAGGCUGAGGUGUGAUGACGAGGCACUACGGUGCUGAAGUAACAAAUGCCCUGCUUCCAGGAAAAGCCUCUAAGCAUCAGGUAACAUCAAAUCGUACCCCAAACCGACACAGGUGGUCAGGUAGAGAAUACCAAGGCGCUUGAGAGAACUCGGGUGAAGGAACUAGGCAAAAUGGUGCCGUAACUUCGGGAGAAGGCACGCUGGUGUGUAGGUGAAGUCCCUGCGGAUGGAGCUGAGACCAGUCGAAGAUACCAGCUGGCUGCAACUGUUUAUUAAAAACACAGCACUGUGCAAACACGAAAGUGGACGUAUACGGUGUGACGCCUGCCCGGUGCCGGAAGGUUAAUUGAUGGGGUUAUCCGUAAGGAGAAGCUCUUGAUCGAAGCCCCGGUAAACGGCGGCCGUAACUAUAACGGUCCUAAGGUAGCGAAAUUCCUUGUCGGGUAAGUUCCGACCUGCACGAAUGGCGUAAUGAUGGCCAGGCUGUCUCCACCCGAGACUCAGUGAAAUUGAACUCGCUGUGAAGAUGCAGUGUACCCGCGGCAAGACGGAAAGACCCCGUGAACCUUUACUAUAGCUUGACACUGAACAUUGAGCCUUGAUGUGUAGGAUAGGUGGGAGGCUUUGAAGCGUGGACGCCAGUCUGCGUGGAGCCAACCUUGAAAUACCACCCUUUAAUGUUUGAUGUUCUAACGUUGGCCCCUGACCGGGGUUGCGGACAGUGUCUGGUGGGUAGUUUGACUGGGGCGGUCUCCUCCCAAAGCGUAACGGAGGAGCACGAAGGUUAGCUAAUCCUGGUCGGACAUCAGGAGGUUAGUGCAAUGGCAUAAGCUAGCUUGACUGCGAGCGUGACGGCGCGAGCAGGUGCGAAAGCAGGUCAUAGUGAUCCGGUGGUUCUGAAUGGAAGGGCCAUCGCUCAACGGAUAAAAGGUACUCCGGGGAUAACAGGCUGAUACCGCCCAAGAGUUCAUAUCGACGGCGGUGUUUGGCACCUCGAUGUCGGCUCAUCACAUCCUGGGGCUGAAGUAGGUCCCAAGGGUAUGGCUGUUCGCCAUUUAAAGUGGUACGCGAGCUGGGUUUAGAACGUCGUGAGACAGUUCGGUCCCUAUCUGCCGUGGGCGCUGGAGAAUUGAGGGGGGCUGCUCCUAGUACGAGAGGACCGGAGUGGACGCAUCACUGGUGUUCGGGUUGUCAUGCCAAUGGCACUGCCCGGUAGCUAAAUGCGGAAGAGAUAAGUGCUGAAAGCAUCUAAGCACGAAACUUGCCCCGAGAUGAGUUCUCCCUGAGACU
rnacentral:rRNA from 1 species